rnacentral:tRNA from 1 species
ACCUGGUUGGCUCAGCUGGGAGAGCAUGUGAUUCUUGAUCUCAGGGUUGUGAGUUCAAGCCCCAUGUUGGGUA